AGUGCUGGGCGCAGCCGCGCCUCGCGCCUCCCGCCCCCCGGGGCUGCGGCGGGGACGCUUCUCUGGAGGGUGUGGCGGAAACUUGAGGCUUGGAGUCCGCGGGACCGGAAGGGGCUCCGUAGCUCGGGGCAGGGUGGGCGCGAGAGAGCCUAGAAGCCCAUGUAGCCGCGAAUCCCGCAGCCCCAGUACACCUCCCUCCGUGCCUCCCCGCCUUUUCUGCAGAGCUCCGCCCUGGAGUGAAGGAGGAGCCGUCACCUGGAGCUCCGAAAAAAGCAGAAGAAGGCGCUUUUUAUUUAGCCAGUGUGACCCCGCCAGGGCCUUCUCGGUUGGGUGAGCACUCUCUCUGACCAGGCCAUGAAAAGAAAAAUCUGUGCGAUGCCUCCCCACAUGUCACGGGACUCUGACUUGCCUUUGUCGUCAGAGUUUGCAGAACUUUGGGGGACCUGAGAGGGGAGUGCCCCCUGGACGGGCCACGGCUGUCUGUGGCUUAAGGGCUUUUGGAAGGGCGGAGAGAGGGAAACGGCGUCCUAGUGGCCUGCUUCAGGGCCACCCACGGGCCCUCCCCCAACCUCUCUCUGAUCCAACUUGUUUUUCCAGCCUAGUUGGAAACUUGUGGAUGCUGUGACCUCAAGAAGACUUGGCAUUUUAUUUGGAAGAUAGACAUCUAUUUGCAACUGUCCUGAGCCCCUAUUUUCCUCCCACCUUUCUUGGGGAAACUUGUUUUUAAGGGAUGCCACUGUUUUUGUAACAUGUUGCUCCUAGCUCUUAGCAUUCAUGGUACUGUUGUAACCGUCCAGUGGGUUCACUUUGUCUGCUAGAUAGAGCCGAUUUAUCAAGACGGGGAUUACAAUGGAGAAAGAGUAAUUCACGCAGAGCCGGCUUUGCAGAUAAAACUCUGCAAAGACAAUGUCUAGCACUUAUAUCUCCAGUAACUCCUGUCAAGGUUUAUUGUUGCUUGUUCAUCAUUGCAGUCCUGACUACAAGUGUGAUUGCACUUUCUAUUGUUUUGUCAGAAUUUCCUGAAAAGAUACAAAGGCCCUUCUGACCAUUGGAUUGGCCUUAGAAGAGAAUCAUCCCAUCGCAUUUGGAAAUGGACAGACAACAUGGAAUAUAAUAACAUGCUUGCUAUCAGAGGAAGUGGAGAAUGUGCCUUCCUGAAUGACAAUGGAGUCAACAGUGGCAGAAUCUACAUGAACAGAAAAUGGAUUUGUAGCAAGCCAAACAAUUAUGUCUACAGUUGCCAGUUAUGUCCCCACUGGGAUACUACCUAGUAGAGCUGUGAGAAGAGGGCCACCAUCCUCCAGACUCCAGAAUGGUGGAAUCAGCAGCAGCUUCCACCAUGCCCCUGGAAAAACUGCAAGUAACAGACCUGCACAUGUAUCCCCUACAUCUAAAAUAAAAGUUGGAAAAAAUGGAACUUUGAUGUUAAGAUGCACUGAUACAAAACUUAAAUUUUGGUCUCCUACAUUAAAACAAUAUGAGUCUCUUAAAAUAUUGAUUUGUUCUUAGUAAGAUUACAAGAGGCUUUGAUUUUUAAUUCUGCAAUGUUUCCUUAACAGCCAUUCUGAAUUACAAACUAAUUCCUAUUUCUGCCACAUUCCUUCCUGAGAACUGUCUAGUCCUGGUUUGGGAUUUAUCUUAAAGGUCUAGAAAGGCAACAUUUUACUUCAGCAAAACUUGAUUCUAUAUUGUUGUUUUUUCUUAAUGUGUCAAAAUUGUUUUGUUACUAGGAUUUCCUAUGUUGUUAUUAAAUGUAUUCCCCUGAUCAAGGUCACUGGCCUAGAAAACAAAGAUUCUGUGUUUUACCAAGAUAAUUCCCAGUGCUUCAUGGUGUCUUUAUUAGGCUUUGACUGCUUAGGGAAACUGAGCCUUAAAAGGGUAAAAGUUUUUCCAUCCAUGUAACUUUCUGAGGUCUUUAGGUUGUCACUCUGAUUAAAUGAGUAGUAUUCUUAGCAGUGACUUAUUAUCUGUUGAAGGAAGUAUUUUAAGCUUUUUGACAUCUUUGGCAGGUUUCUCUAGAAUCCAAAUCCUAAAUUAAGCCUUUUGGCCUAAAAAUGACUGGGAUUUUUCCAGGUGGACCCCCUAGAUAUGCUCCUCCAAAGGCUUGUCUUUCUUGUAGAGUUAUUAAAUGAUUAGGCUUAUUUGGCAAAUACUGCUAGAAGCAUUGUCAAAUAAGAAAUGGUGUUUUACCUUUCUUUAAGCUGUGUUUGUGUAAGUUCAUCAUUUAUAGAAAUGUGAAAUUUUAUGAGAUUCCUAAGAUACUGACAUGCUGAGAUACCUGUAAUAAUUGCAAUUUUUAUGUUGGAUGAUUGUAUGCCACAGAAGCACUUAAAUUUCCUGGUUAAUUGGUAACGUUAAUCAGAUCUUUACCUAUGGCUGUUCUGGGUUUUUGUCAUUCACAGUUAUUAUUUUAAUUUCUUCUUUGGAAGCGUUCGCAAUCAGCUAUAGUCCAAAAUUGCUAAUUAAGAUCAAGCAAAACAAAAUUAAUUACGUAAAAUUAAUUUAUAAGGAUGUUUUUAUGACGUAAAUGUUUUAUUUUCCAGAGCCAAGGAAAUUUUCUGUCACAAGCUAUCUACCGUUUGCAAUAAUUUGAUAAAUAAUCCUUUGUGAACAA
rnacentral:lncRNA from 1 species